rnacentral:rRNA from 1 species
GAUGAACGCUGGCGGCGUGCUUAACACAUGCAAGUCGAACGAAGCAUUUGCGACAGAUUUCUUCGGAUUGAAGUUGCUUAUGACUGAGUGGCGGACGGGUGAGUAACGCGUGGGUAACCUGCCUCAUACAGGGGGAUAGCAGCUGGAAACGGCUGGUAAUACCGCAUAAGCGCACAGUACCACAUGGUACAGUGUGAAAAACUCCGGUGGUAUGAGAUGGACCCGCGUCUGAUUAGCUAGUUGGUGAGGUAACGGCCCACCAAGGCGACGAUCAGUAGCCGAUCUGAGAGGGUGACCGGCCACAUUGGGACUGAGACACGGCCCAGACUCCUACGGGAGGCAGCAGUGGGGAAUAUUGCACAAUGGAGGAAACUCUGAUGCAGCGACGCCGCGUGAGUGAAGAAGUAGUUCGCUAUGUAAAGCUCUAUCAGCAGGGAAGAUAGUGACGGUACCUGACUAAGAAGCUCCGGCUAAAUGCGUGCCAGCCGCCGCCGUAA